rnacentral:rRNA from 7 species
AAAUUGAAGAGUUUGAUCAUGGCUCAGAUUGAACGCUGGCGGCAGGCCUAACACAUGCAAGUCGAACGGUAACAGGAAACAGCUUGCUGUUUCGCUGACGAGUGGCGGACGGGUGAGUAAUGUCUGGGAAACUGCCUGAUGGAGGGGGAUAACUACUGGAAACGGUAGCUAAUACCGCAUAACGUCGCAAGACCAAAGAGGGGGACCUUAGGGCCUCUUGCCAUCGGAUGUGCCCAGAUGGGAUUAGCUAGUAGGUGGGGUAA